AGCAACAAAUGCCCUGCUUCCAGGAAAAGCCUCUAAGCAUCAGGUAACAUCAAAUCGUACCCCAAACCGACACAGGUGGUCAGGUAGAGAAUACCAAGGCGCUUGAGAGAACUCGGGUGAAGGAACUAGGCAAAAUGGUGCCGUAACUUCGGGAGAAGGCACGCUGACACGUAGGUGAAGUGAUUUACUCAUGGAGCUGAAGUCAGUCGAAGAUACCAGCUGGCUGCAACUGUUUAUUAAAAACACAGCACUGUGCAAACACGAAAGUGGACGUAUACGGUGUGACGCCUGCCCGGUGCCGGAAGGUUAAUUGAUGGGGUCAGCGCAAGCGAAGCUCCUGAUCGAAGCCCCGGUAAACGGCGGCCGUAACUAUAACGGUCCUAAGGUAGCGAAAUUCCUUGUCGGGUAAGUUCCGACCUGCACGAAUGGCGUAAUGAUGGCCAGGCUGUCUCCACCCGAGACUCAGUGAAAUUGAACUCGCUGUGAAGAUGCAGUGUACCCGCGGCAAGACGGAAAGACCCCGUGAACCUUUACUAUAGCUUGACACUGAACAUUGAGCCUUGAUGUGUAGGAUAGGUGGGAGGCUUUGAAGUGUGGACGCCAGUCUGCAUGGAGCCGACCUUGAAAUACCACCCUUUAAUGUUUGAUGUUCUAACGUGGACCCGUGAUCCGGGUUGCGGACAGUGUCUGGUGGGUAGUUUGACUGGGGCGGUCUCCUCCUAAAGAGUAACGGAGGAGCACGAAGGUUGGCUAAUCCUGGUCGGACAUCAGGAGGUUAGUGCAAUGGCAUAAGCCAGCUUGACUGCGAGCGUGACGGCGCGAGCAGGUGCGAAAGCAGGUCAUAGUGAUCCGGUGGUUCUGAAUGGAAGGGCCAUCGCUCAACGGAUAAAAGGUACUCCGGGGAUAACAGGCUGAUACCGCCCAAGAGUUCAUAUCGACGGCGGUGUUUGGCACCUCGAUGUCGGCUCAUCACAUCCUGGGGCUGAAGUAGGUCCCAAGGGUAUGGCUGUUCGCCAUUUAAAGUGGUACGCGAGCUGGGUUUAGAACGUCGUGAGACAGUUCGGUCCCUAUCUGCCGUGGGCGCUGGAGAACUGAGGGGGGCUGCUCCUAGUACGAGAGGACCGGAGUGGACGCAUCACUGGUGUUCGGGUUGUCAUGCCAAUGGCACUGCCCGGUAGCUAAAUGCGGAAGAGAUAAGUGCUGAAAGCAUCUAAGCACGAAACUUGCCCCGAGAUGAGUUCUCCCUGAGACUUUAAGUCUCCUGAAGGAACGUUGAAGACGACGACGUUGAUAGGCCGGGUGUGUAAGCGCAGCGAUGCGUUGAGCUAACCGGUACUAAUGAACCGUGAGGCUUAACCUU
rnacentral:rRNA from 1 species